CACGUAGGGGACGAGCGUUGUCCGGAUUCACUGGGCGUAAAGCGCACGUAGGCGGACCAGCAAGUUAGGGGUGAAAUCCCGGGGCUCAACCCCGGAACUGCCUUUAAAACUGUUGGUCUGGAGGUCGAGAGAGGUGAGUGGAAUUCCGAGUGUAGAGGUGAAAUUCGUAGAUAUUCGGAGGAACACCAGUGGCGAAGGCGGCUCACUGGCUCGAUACUGACGCUGAGGUGCGAAAGCGUGGGGAGCAAACAGG
rnacentral:rRNA from 1 species